rnacentral:rRNA from 1 species
GACGAACGCUGGCGGCGUGCUUAACACAUGCAAGUCGAACGGAAAGGCCCUGCUUUUGUGGGGUGCUCGAGUGGCGAACGGGUGAGUAACACGUGAGUAACCUGCCCUUGACUUUGGGAUAACUUCAGGAAACUGGGGCUAAUACCGGAUAGGAGCUCCUGCUGCAUGGUGGGGGUUGGAAAGUUUCGGCGGUUGGGGAUGGACUCGCGGCUUAUCAGCUUGUUGGUGGGGUAGUGGCUUACCAAGGCUUUGACGGGUAGCCCGCCUGAGAGGGUGACCGGCCACAUUGGGCCUGAGAUACGGCCCAGACUCCUACGGGAGGCAGCAGUGGGGAAUAUUGCACAAUGGGCGGAAGCCUGAUGCAGAAACGCCGCGUGCGGGAUGACGGCCUUCGGGUUGUAAACCGCUUUCGCCUGUGACGAAGCGUGAGUGACGGUAAUGGGUAAAGAAGCACCGGCUAACUACGUG